CCUACGGGGUGCAGCAGUGAGGAAUAUUGGUCAAUGGACGCAAGUCUGAACCAGCCAUGCCGCGUGCAGGAAGACGGCUCUAUGAGUUGUAAACUGCUUUUAGUUGGGAAUAAAAGGGGGCUCGUGAGCCCCGUAUUGUAUGUACCAUCAGAAAAAGGACCGGCUAAUUCCGUGCCAGCAGCCGCGGUAAUACGGAAGGUCCGGGCGUUAUCCGGUUUUAUUGGGUUUAAAGGGAGCGUAGGCCGGCUUUUAAGUCAGCUGUGAAAGUCCGGGGCUCAACCGUGGAAUUGCAGUUGAAACUGGAGGCCUUGAGUGGACGCAGGGAUGGCGGAAUUCAUGGUGUAGCGGUGAAAUGCUUAGAUAUCAUGAAGAACUCCGAUCGCGAAGGCAGGUGUCCGGGGUGCAACUGACGCUGAGGCUCGAAAGUGCGGGGAUCAAACAGGAUUAGAUACCCUUGUAGUC
rnacentral:rRNA from 1 species